GAUAGAAAACAGUUCAAAGAACAGAAGGCUCAGUUCCUGAAGCAAGAAUUUUUGACGUCAUUGCCAAAUGACAGGAGAAAUACUAAGUGGCGACUUUCUGCACCACUUCCUCUUAGAGAAGAGCAAGACUGUGAAGAAUCACCCAGAGUAAAAAAGUGGGCCAGACCCAUCUGUACACCAUACACCAAGUUUCAUAUCACACCAAGCCAUACCCCAACAGACCUGUUUAGAAGAAAGCAGCUUUCCUGUAAAACUAGCAGCCCUGUAAUAGGCAAGGAGCAAAAUCUUUCAGACAACUGGCUAAAUUCUCCACAACAGCUUAAAAGAAGAGAAACCUACCAACCUACCAACAGCUCAAAAGAAGGGAAACCUACUAAUGCAUCUUGUCAAACAGAAAUAGCUGUGAAGGAUGAUCUCCAGAAUGAUAGUUUGGAUCGCUUCCUUAACAACUUCUUCUAGGGAUUUCUUUCACCAUGUUCCUAUUAUUUUAGUUUCACUGCAUGUUGUCACAAAGGCUAUAUCAAAAUUUAUGUCCUGUUCUACUGAAAUUGAGAAACGUAUUUCCUUCUUUUAGUUGUAUUCUAGACGUAACUUUCUACUCAAGAAAGGUCAACAGAAAUAAAUGCCUAUAUUGGGAACUGUUGUUUAACAUGCAACUGAAUUUUAUUAAAGCACAGAAUAUACAAGUGGAAAUAGUUUUUAUGAACGUUCUGAGUUAUAUUUAUUAGACUGUACUUGUUAACAAUUGUACUUUUGUAUGCAUGUGGAGAUAGGGACCAAAAAUGAAGUAGGUUUCUUUUGGGUGUUCCUAUUCUUUUAAUAAAUAUAUA